rnacentral:rRNA from 1 species
UAGUCCACGCAGUAAACGAUGAGUGCUAGAUGUUAGAACAUUGUGUUUUAGUGUCGAAGCUAACGCAUUAAGCACUCCGCCUGGGAACUACGAUCGCAAGGUUAAAACUCAAAGGAAUUGACGGGGACCCGCACAAGCGGUUGGAAGAUGUGGUUUAAUUCGAUACUACGCGAAAAACCCUACCAAGUCUUGACAUUGAUAGUCGUACGGCUAAGAAACUAGCCAGUCAGUUCGGCUGGACUAUCACAGGUGUUGCAUGGCUGUCGUCAGCUCGUGUCGUGAGAUGUUGGGUUAAGUCCCGCAACGAGCGCAACCCUUAUCUUUAAUUGCCAACAGGUAAUGCUGGGGACUUUAAAGAAACUGCCAAUGGAGAAUUGGAGGAAGGUGAGGGAUGACGUCAAGUCAGCAUGGCCCUUACGACUUGGGCUACACACGUCUUACAAUGGUAGUUACAAUGUGAUGCAAUAGGGCGACCUAGAGCAAAUCUUCAAAAACUACCUCAGUUC